rnacentral:rRNA from 1 species
CGCGAACGCUGGCGGCAUGGCUAAAACAUGCAAGUCGAACGCGAAAGCACCUUCGGGUGCCGGUAGAGUGGCGAAAGGGCGAGUAAUGCGUUUCUACGUACCCCGAGGUCAGGGAUAGCCCAGGGAAACUUGGAUUAACACCUGAUGUGGUCUCCGGAUCAAAAGCUUGCUGCCUCGGGAGCGGGGAACGUCCUAUCAGCUUGUUGGUGAGGUAAAAGCUCACCAAGGCUACGACGGGUAGCGGGUGUGAGAGCAUGACCCGCCGCAUCGGGACUGAGACACUGCCCGGACUCCUACGGGAGGCUGCAGUAACGAAUCUUCCGCAAUGCGCGAAAGCGUGACGGAGCAAUGCCGCGUGCAGGAUGAAGCUCUUCGGAGUGUAAACUGCUGUCAGGGUUUAGCAACACAAUGAGCAGACCCAAAGGAAGGGCCGGCUAACUUCGUGCCAGCAGCCGCGGUAAUACGAAGGGCCCGAGCGUUGCGCGGAAUCACUGGGCUUAAAGCGUACGUAGGCGGACUCAUAGGCGUCUUGUGAAAUCCCUCGGCUCAACCGAGGAACUGCUCGACGAACCA